rnacentral:lncRNA from 1 species
UAGGAACCAAGCCGCAUCCUCUUUUAAUGCAUCAAUUCCUGUCUGUGCUGGGAGACCAGGGCCACAUUGCUGAAAAUACGUUAUAAAUAAUCACAAAAAGUUCCAUUCACAUGAAGCAAAGUGGUUGGAGAAACCUGAGGAAAUUCACAGUGAAACAAGCUGAAAGCAGUCAGUAAGAGCUUUAAUAGGGGAAGGGGAAGAGAAGAGCUCCUUGACCUGUGCAGGUGUGUGUGGGCUCAGCCUCUCUGCAUGUAUUUCAUGGCUUUCCAGGGCAGGGUGACCUGUGAUAGUAGGAGAGGAGUAGGGCUGCUGGGCAUCUUUCCCUAGAGCUUUUUAGGGAGGCCGAGGUGCUACAGCUCUCACGGUAGUGAAGUUGUAUGGUACAAGGUCAGCUUGUGUGGGAAGCAGCCCCCUGUAGCAUCAUUAUUUGCAGCUCUGUGCGGUAUGGACCUGGCUCGGAAGGAGCAGGAACCUGCCCUGGGUGUAGCCCUCAGAGCUGCGUGGUGUGCCCUGCCUGGCUGCAGCUCAAGCCACCUAGUCCCGUAAAAGCAUUUCAAGCGUCUUGUUAAACACGGCCACCUCUGUUCUUUGAUUGCUUAAAGGUGUUUUCCUGUAUCCCUUCCAGCCCAGCUCCUUGGCACUGUUUACAACUCAGAAAUAAAGUUCAAGCAGUGGAAAGUUUCCCUGUUUGC